UGAAGCCCGUCCCGGGCUGCCCCCGACGCAAAGGUGCCCAUCACGCUCGCUGCGUUGCCGCGUUGGACUGCGAUGGACAGCCUUUGCAUCAGGAAAAACCCGGAGCGGGGGUCAAGGCCUCUUUCUAGCAGGCGACGACCCAGCUCCCGGAGGAAGGACAUACCCUCAGCGCACCAGCAGCCUGAGGUCUCGACAGCGAGGGGGACGAAUAAGUACCCGCUUAGCGCCGAGUAUUUAGCUUUUUUAAGGGACGCCGCGUGCUCAGCAGCCGCUCCUGCCGACCGUAUUGUGCGGCUAAGAUGCGAGGCGGCGAAAGUACUGACGCACGUGGCGUCCCAUAAUAAGCACUUACCUCUUUCCCACGGCACCAGGGUCAAGCCGUCAGGCCUUUUGCCCGCAACGGCAGCAGCUCAAGGCAUGGUGACCGUUGCUCUCCACAGUGGAACCGCAGAUGCAUUGGUGUGGUUGGCAUACGUCACAACCUAAGCGGAGAGCAACGGCCACACGCAUCGAGUCGCUGUCUAGUAAGGUGCCUAAGUUUGGGGAGGGAAGAGCGUGUAGCCAGGCUCCAGAUUCAGGCCUGGAGGCAGCGAUUAGCCUGGCUCUGUCAGAACCAGCAGCGGUAUGAAUAAGACUGUCGAGUAGUCUCUUUACCACGACGUCAUCCCAUAAACGCUGGCGGUAAGGUUUGUCUGGUACUGGCGCAUCAGAGUU